CUGGAAACGGUAGCUAAUACCGCAUAACGUCGCAAGACCAAAGUGGGGGACCUUCGGGCCUCAUGCCAUCAGAUGUGCCCAGAUGGGAUUAGCUAGUAGGGGGGGUAACGGCUCACCUAGGCGACGAUCCCUAGCUGGUCUGAGAGGAUGACCAGCCACACUGGAACUGAGACACGGUCCAGACUCCUACGGGAGGCAGCAGUGGGGAAUAUUGCACAAUGGGCGCAAGCCUGAUGCAGCCAUGCCGCGUGUGUGAAGAAGGCCUUCGGGUUGUAAAGCACUUUCAGCGGGGAGGAAGGCGGUGAGGUUAAUAACCUCAUCGAUUGACGUUACCCGCAGAAGAAGCACCGGCUAACUCCGUGCCAGCAGCCGCGGUAAUACGGAGGGUGCAAGCGUUAAUCGGAAUUACUGGGCGUAAAGCGCACGCAGGCGGUCUGUCAAGUCGGAUGUGAAAUCCCCGGGCUCAACCUGGGAACUGCAUUCGAAACUGGCAGGCUAGAGUCUUGUAGAGGGGGGUAGAAUUCCAGGUGUAGCGGUGAAAUGCGUAGAGAUCUGGAGGAAU
rnacentral:rRNA from 1 species